rnacentral:rRNA from 1 species
UACGUAGGGGGCAAGCGUUGUCCGGAUUUAUUGGGCGUAAAGAGCGUGUAGGCGGCUAGGUAGGUCCGUUGUGAAAACUCGAGGCUCAACCUCGAGCUGUCGAUGGAAACCAUCUAGCUAGAGUCCGGAAGAGGAGAGUGGAAUUCCUGGUGUAGCGGUGAGAUGCGCAGAUAUCAGGAAGAACACCCGUGGCGAAGGCGGCUCUCUGGUACGUGACUGACGCUGAGACGCGAAAGCGUGGGGAGCGAACAGG